GGCCGGCCAAGUUAUUUCCUCCCGUAUAUAUAUAUUUAUUUAUACAGUUGAGGGAGAGAGAGGGUGGGGGCUGUUUUGUGUACGUGCCCAACGGGGGAUGCGUCGCCAAUGGGGAGAACAAGGGUGCGCUGCCGUUCACGGAAUGCUGCGUCCACACGUACACACACAUCUAUCACGACCCAGCGACGUGACGGGAAAGAAAAGGGGGGGGGGGCAGGGCAGGGGGAAAUCGGGUGCUUGUCUUUCGGAGUUAGUUUGAGAGCCCUUCCACACAACCCUAUAUCCCACAAUACCAAGGCAGAAAAUCCCACAAUAUCUGCUUUGAACUGGGUUAUCUGAGUCCACAUUCAGAUAAUGUGGGACUUUCUACCUUGAUAUUCUGGGAUAUAGGGCUGUGUGGAAGGGCCCUGAGAGAAACUCUGUGAGGCUGAAGGAGAGGCUCUUCCCUCCUCCAGCUUUACACACCAAAGAAAACAACCCGUUGGGAGGGGGAGGUGGUGGUAGUGGUAGUUCUCCCCCCCUCCCCCCCCCCCGGAUUACAAAAUGGUGUUUUAGGGAAGGGGCUGGACUCAAGGGCCCUUCCACACAGCCAUAUAACCCAGAAUUUCAAGGCAGAAUAAUUCACAAUAUCUGCUUUGAACUGGGUUAUCAGAGGCCCCUUCCACAUAGCUGAAUAAAAUCCCACGUUAUCUGCUUUGAACUGAAUAUAUGGCAAUGUUAACUCAGAUAACCCAGUUCAAAGCAGUUAUUGUGAGAUUUCCUGCCUUGAUAUAUUGGUUUAUAUGGCUGUGUGGAAGGGCCCUGAGUCCACACUCACAUAUAUCCCAGAUCAAAGCAGACAAUGUGGGAUUUUAUAUAGCUGUGUGGAAGGGGCCCUAGAAGCCUUGGGGCCCUUCCACACAACCAUAUGACCCAGAAUAUCAAGGCGGAAAGUCCCACAAUAUCUGCUUUGAACUGGGUUAUCUGAGUCCACACUGCCAUAUAUCCCAGUUCAAAGCAGAAAAAAUUGGGAUUUUAUUCAUCUGUGUAGAAGGGACCUUGGAAGUGAGGAAGGCUGCGACAGCAGUCCCUCACCUCUUAAGGAACGGAAGAAAGUGUUGAGGCUCAUUCUCUUCAGAAGAAAGAAACGAGACAAAGGCCCCUUCCGCACAGCUGUAUAAAAUCCACAUCGAACUGGGUUAUAUGGCAGUGUGGACUCAGAUAAUCCAGUUCAAAGCACAUAUAGUGGAUUAUCUGUUUUGAUAGUCUGGAUUAUAUGACUGUGUGGAAGAGCCCAGAGCUAAACAGCAAACACUCUGGAGAAGAGUGAACUGUUUGGGGCAGAAGGAGAGAAAGAUGCUAUUCCUGUGCUUGUGUGUGUUUUGAAUGUUGAGGAAUAUUAACUGACUUAAAAUGUAAGUAGGUAGGACUUAAACUGAGAGGAUUUUCCCCCUUCUCAUUCUGAGUGAAGGAGAGACGGACAUAUUAGGAGAUAUCCUGUUGUCCGUGCAGUAGAUGCAAAGUUGUAAGUUAAAAGGUUGGGAGUCUCUUCCUUCCCAUGAGAUGGCUGGCUGGGAAUGAGCUAGCAAAGGAAGGAUGAGCUGAAAAAUAGGAGGAGCCACUGCUCUCUCUCUGUGAAGGAUGAUAGUCUGGAGAAGAGGGAGGGGCUUGUAUGUAUCUGUAGGAGUCUCAUGUCAUCAUGGGGGACUAAUCUUAAUGCUGUUGGUGUGGCCUGGCUUAUCUUGUCUAUGGUGUUUUCAUAUAGCUCCUAAUACAUAGUCCUCAUUCCUUGGCAGAUGCUGUUGAAAGGUCCUAAAGUGUGUUACAGAAGCUAGCUCUCCCAGUUUGGCAGGGAAGGGAGGAGCAAAGGAAUGAAGCAAGAGCAUACUUACGGGACAGUGUUGUGUAGGAUAUAUGUUUUCAUAGAAAAGGAUACAUGUUUUGGGUUUUUUUUGCAGCCUGAGGAGUGAGAUUUUUUUAAAGUCAAAUGCUAAACCAAAUACAGAGAUGCACUAGAUUUUUUCCUCCUGUGAGAUUCAAAGUCACAUGUUUAUCUCGUACUUGUUAAUUCCAGUUAUCUAUUAAUCACAACUGUAUCCAAGGCUUGGCCAAUAGGAAAGGGAGAUUGUGAGUGUGAUGCUUUCCAUGUGCUUGGUCAUAAGGCCUAUCUAUAUAUUGUUUCCACAAUAAGAUAGGACUUGUGUAUGUAGUUUAAGAGUAUUGUGAUGCUUGUAGCCCUUGGACAGGACAAACAACUCUUUUCAGUGGAUGAUGCUGGAUAUAUGUUCUUGUACACAUUAUGCAAAAUUAAUGCUUAAUGGUUUUUAGAGAGAACAAAUGCGUAGUGUUUGCAUUUGACUUCAGAAUAGGAAAAAGUGGUACAGUCUAGUACUAUUGUUGCUUUCUUAUCCUGAAAAUGAGGGUGGGGACAGGAUUUAUACAUUGAGAAGCCUGAAGGAGGGAGAUGCUGGAAGACACACAUGCAAGUAAAGGGUAAACAAUGAGCUAUUCAGAUAAAUAUGGCACAUAAUCAGCAUGAUCUUAGACCACACAUAAGCACCCUAUCUAACUACGAUUUCUUCUACUUCUUUGUUGUAACAGCUGCCUCUUCCCCACCUCCCUUGACAGGGAAAUUAUUAGUGACACAAAUAAGAGCAAAUGGCCUCUUCAAUUUGUAAAGAUUUAAUGUAGGAGGGAAACAAAUUGCCAAAGUGUAAUGUCUCAGCAAAGUGACACAGGAAUAACUUUGAUAUGGAAAGAAUAAUAGCUUUCAUCAGAAGAAACUAUAGCUUUGGACAAAAUUAUUUCUCCAGUAUGUGAAUCAGAAAGGACAAAUGCAAUUAACUGAGAAGAAAUCUUGGUCCACUUGAGUAUUGCAUACAGAAAGGGUAAUACUACAGAAUGAAAAAUAGAAGCAACUUCAUUCAGAAACUGACUGGUGGAUUGAAACAGGUAGAAAUACUAUUUUGGUUUAAUUCUUUUUACAUGUACUAAAAGUGGUUUGAUACAAGGAAGAUUUAUUCAUAGUUUUAACUGCAAUAGAGGAAAAUUAAUCUUCUAAAAAGCCAGGUUGUACAAAGUCCAAUCUGAAAGAGUUGACUAGUUGGUGGCAUUAGAAAUACCUGCAUUUAAUUAUAUUUAUUUCAAGUAUAUAUUAUCCUUGUAAAUUGAAAAUUAGUGUAGGCUUAAGAUACUGUGAUAAGAUACUGUGAUUUGACAAUAGGGUUUGAGCUUUAAAUGAAAGUUUAUAGAUGUGAAAAAAGAUAGGUGGACUGCAUGAGUGAUGCACUCACUAUAUUUUCAGGGCUUCUCAUGAAAAGUUUUCAUUGAUAUCCUUGAAUGCUUGUAUUGGAAGUAUUUCUUCUGCAAUUGGUAUAUGCUAGAGUCUAAUACAUUCAAAAUUAUUUCUGUAUUUUGCUUAUGCUUAUCAUAAGGAUAAGCGAAAAUGCACACUCUAAUUUGCAAAAAUGUGCCUCUGAUAAUAUGAGCAGGUUGAAAAAGUAUAAAUUGCCAUAAAGAAUGAAGAGUCUUCCCAUGUUGUUGUUUGCUCUUGUGUUCUUUUACGGUUGCAAAAGGACUCAUAGCUUAGUGUUGGAAACAUAAAUAUUAACUAUUGAUCAUUCAGUGAUAAGAUCUUACUACUUUAGCUAGGCGUGAACAUUUAUUUUGAUGGCAAUUUCAAAAAAUCAAUUUUGAGAAAUGUGGUCAGUUUGUGUCAGUGUAUAGCUUAUUUAUAUCCUAUGCAUUUCUCGUUCCCUUUUUAUGUUAUUCAUUUUCAUUCUUGUCAUAUUUUCAUUGUAGUCAUAUUUCUGAAAUCCAAUAAAAUUAGAUAAAAUACUAUUAGGUAUUCACGGUCAGAUAAAACGGAAAUGAGGUAAAUUUCUGUUUUAGAUAUGGAGUGAUGCUACUUAGUUAUAUAGAUGAUUGUAGUUCACUACAAGCUGAACAUCUCUUAUGCAGAAUUCCAAAAUCUGAAUUUGUGCACAUGGGUGACUGGCAUAAUGAUUUUUAUGGUUCCAUGUACACAAACUGUAUGCUAUUUUAACAUGUUUACAAUUAUUCAAAUUUAUACAAGUAAAAAUUUGAAUAUAUUUGACUACCAUAUGUAAACCAAUGUAAACCAAAUAAGUGCAGUUGAUUGAUUCUAUCGUAAGGCAAAUAUUUUUGUUAACAUGUUUGAACUAUGGGGAAAAACGAGAAUCUUUAUAACAUUUGAAAUAACAAUUUGUUUUCUAAAUGUAAGUCUAGAAAACAUACUUAAUUAGAUCUGCAUUGAUUCAGGUAGCAGAAAUCUUCUAAUUCAGGAUUUUCUAGAAAACUCUGAAGAUGGUAGCUUAUUCACUAAAUGUUAAAUUCAUCAAGUAUGUGCAAACUAACCAUGCACACUGACAAUGAAGGCACUGUGCACAAUUAUAGUCAACAAAGAUUCCUUUCCAAAGAAAGAUAUAUAGCAAGGCAUUUUCUGCUAGAUAAGAAUAAUAAAACAAGUGCAGACAUAAGACAUGCCAAAUAUUUAUAAUGCUCUACUAGCAUGUAUAGGUUUCUUUUGACUACAGAAAUAGAAUACGAUGCCUGGAGAUACUUUCCAAGACUCCCAGUGGGUAUCUUAAACCAUGUGUAAUCGUGAACCCUAAUUUUUGCCAUAGAAUACCACUGGAGGACCCAGAGAGGCUCCCAAACACUUAUGGGAGGGAAACAUUUGGUCAUGGGUAAGUGAAAUAUGGAUUUCAAGUCUAUGGUCAAAUUGUAACAGUAAGUCAUGACGUAGGCCAGUGAUUCUUAGUCUUUGGCCCUCUAGAGAUUUUGGGCUUCAGUUUCCAGUUUUUCUAAUACCGUAAUUCUCCACGCUUCCUGGGAGAUGAAUAUCAAAAUAUCUAGAAAACCAGAAACAUAUAUUAACUGGCUUAAAGAGAAGUAUCUGCAUGUAAAUAAACCGAACACAGGACAGGCAGAAGGCAGGGUGGGUAAAUGCCUAGGGAAAGCUUUGUAUGUAUCCUAGCAUUCAGUGGCUGUUGUCUUUAUAAGGAAAAUUGAUAGAACAAAGCAUACAUUUUUUUUCUUUUAGAGAGAUGACCCAUGGAUAAGUUGAAGUUUAUUCCAACAAAAGGAGAAAGCACCAGUAAUUUAAGGGAAGCAUAAACAAUAUGCUGCAACCACAAUUUUUCUUCCCAGGUAUUUGAAAAGGCUGGAAGCAUUGUCAGAGCAGAGAGGGUAGUGGUGGUUGAUACUUCCUUUAGUUUCUCCCAGAAUGAACUGAGUUCUCCCCUUUUGCCUGUCUACUCAAAGGAAAACAGUGCUUGCAUUAAAGUCAAUCCAAGUUGUUUGGCUUAUUUUUUUAAGUAAAAAUUUAUGCAGAUAUAAUUUUUCUUUUAUACAUUUAGUUAUUUUAUUCAUGUAUAUCCUGCCUUCUUCACAACAAUGGGAUUGAAGGCAGCUAACAACAUAUCUAAAACAAUACAGAUUAAAAACUACAAAAUAUCUGAUUAAAAUGUAGAUAUAAAGUUAUCUGAAAAGCAGUUAAUUAAUUUAAAAGAUUAAUUAAUUAAUUAAUUAAUUAAUUAAAAGAUUAUACAUACCAUAAAACAUAAAAAGCACAGUACAUCAUUAAAAGUCCCUUUGAAUAACAGAGGAAUUGGAGGGAUUGUCUGCCCAAUUAAAAUGAAAAAUUUUGUGAAAAACUUGAGAGUUUCUGAACCAGCUUUGAGUGACUAGGUAAUUGGACAGUGUUCUUGGAUUGUUGUUAGAAAACAACUCCCAUUUUAGAAAAUCUGAACCUCGUCAGAGUGCUUUGAUAAAAUUUAGAAUCAGUAUUUCAGCUUCACAGGAUCUUCUAUAGUCUUUGUGGUGAGGUGAAAGGUGAUUGAACUUGGCUAAAAGAUGGCCAAGAUACAACAAUUCUAAAAAAAAUAAUCCUUGAUACAUUUACUUAACAUAUAUACAUGUUUUGCACACAUAUUUCCUAUUUCAGUUAUUUUUCUUUUUGUUGAAAGCAUAUUCUGUCAGACCUUAGGGAAAUAAAACCAGUAUUUGACUUUUGUAAAAUUAUCAUAGAAACACUGGAUACGUUGACGUAAGAACAAAAUCGAAGAAGGAGAAUGACUAAGGAAUGAUCAUAAGAUCCUAUAUAAAGUGCUGUUUGUAUAUUUUAUAUUAUGCUUGAUUGACAAAUACUCAUUGGGUAAUUUACAAAUUACAAAAAUAAAGCCGCAUUUUUACUGAAACAAAUCAACUAAAAACAUUAUCAUUAAAAUAUAAGAAUGUUGAUGACCAGCAGUAAAAUCUAAACAACAAAUAAAUAUAAAGACUCACUAUUCAUUACAUCAUUUUGAAUAAAGGCUCCUAGAGACAAUGUGUCGUGCAAAUAAUUUGUAGCUUUGAAACAAUAGGUAAAAGGUAAAAGGUUUUCCCUGGCAUUAAGUCUAGUUGUGUCCGAUUCUGGGGGUUGGUGCUCAUCUCCUUUUCUAAGCUGAAGAGCCGGCAUUGUCCGUAGACACCUCCAAGGUCAUGUGGCCAGCAUGACUGCAUGGAAAGCCGUUACCUUCCCACUGGAGCGGUACCUAUCUAUCUACUCACAUUUGCAUGUUUUUUAACUGCUAGGUUGGCAGAAGCUGGGACCAACAGCGGGCUCUCACUCCGCUCCCCGGAUUCGAACCUGCGACCUUUUGGUCCACAAGUUCAGCAGCUCAGCGCUUAAACACGCUGCGCCACGGGGGGGCUCCUUUCAAACAAUAGGAGGGGGGUAUAACUUAUUCCACUCAUUUUUCAGUUGAGGAGAGACAGUUUCAGAACAAUUGGGUGGAAAUGUGAUGUUAGCAUCAUUUACACCAGGGGGUCCCCAAACUAAGGCCCAGAGGCCGGAUGCGGCCCUCCGAAGUCAUUUACCUGGCCCCCGCCCUCAGUUUGAUAAUAUAAUAUGUUGUAUAUACAUAUAAUAUUGAUAAUAAUAUUAUAAUGUAAUAUAAUAUAACACUAAUAAUAAUACCAUAUAAUAAUAUUAAUUAUAUAUUUUAUAUUACAUAUAAUAUUACUAAUAAUAUUACAUUAUAGUGGUGUAGUUCAAUAUAGUAAUAUAUAAUGCUAAUAUUGUGCUGUGCUAAUAAUAUAAUAUAUUGUAUGUACAUACAGCUGCUCUGAGUCCCCUUUGGGGUGAGAAGGGUGUGAUACAAAUGUAGUAAAUAAAUGCAGUAAAUAAUAAAUAAAUAAAUAGAUUUUAGACUUAGGCUCGCCCAAAGUCUGAAAUGACUUGAAGACACACAACAGCAACAACAACAACAACAACAACAACAACCCUAAUUAACUUGACUAUCUCAUUGGCCAGAAGCAGGACCACACUUCCCAUUGAAAUCCUGAUAAAUGUAUGUUGGUUAAAAUUGUUUUUAUUUUUAAAUAUUGUAUUGUUCUUUCAUUGUUGUUGUUGCUGCUGUUGUUGUUUUUGCACUACAAAUAAGACAUAUUCAGUGUGCAUCGGAAUUUGUUUGUAUUUUUUUUUCAAAUGAUAAUCCGGCCCUUCAACAGUCUGAAGGGUUGUGGACCGGCCCUCGGCUUAAAAAGUUUGAGGACCCCUGAUUUACACAUUGAAAAUCACUUUGGUACUUUGGGAACAUCAUAUGUAUUAUGUAUAAUUUGGCUUGGCAUUAAAUUAUCAUAUAUAUGUUUACCCCUCAACAUACUUUUUUUUAGCCUUUUAGAUUUUAUGUACAUGCUUCUAUGAAACUGUACCCCACUUACGGUGGUCUAUGACUGUGAUAAAGAUUUGAUUUGCGUUACUAAAAGUAGAAUUUAUUUAGACAAUAAUUAUGAGUUGUACUAACUUUUAAUCAUUUUUUGUUAUGAUUCAGGACUUUGUAUCUUUGAAAAGAGCACCUAUUAAGAGUCUCUUUCAUUUUCCCAGUUUGUUGAGAGUAGGUUAAAAGUAAUAAAAAUAGAUAAAACUAUCAACAGUUCUUAAAGAAAAUAUUAUUUUUUGCCUCUACUUUUCUAUUAUGUCAAACAGAUAUUAAAUGCUUGUUCUGUUAAAAGAACCAAGAAAAGGAAACCAAGUCUAGGAAUUGCAGUGAUCUAAUAUGGUAUACAUUAUAAUCUUCCUGUUGCAUAGUUUUAGAAAUGAUUUUGAGGCUACACAUUUGCCAGGAUUCUGUAUUUCAUUCAAUAGCAUUAAUCUACACUCGUAGAAGUCAUACACGCUGCAUCAUCCUUCUUAAUACCUGACUUACCUGCAAGGGUGCUAGUUUAUAGUGAUGUUGUGCUGUGGGGAAUAUUCAGUGACAUACCUGCAAUCUCAGUGAAUAAAAUAGUAUAUUGAAAGAUCUGCCAUCUGUUUUAGCCAGGGCUGAGAAUCUGCAUUCACUUGUGCAAUUGUUAGAUUGUAGUACUCUUGUUAUACAACGAUUUCACAAUGCCCAAAAAACCCAUAUUUCCAUCUGUUCUCUCCAACAUUUCAACUUUUUAAAACAAAAUAUUCUAUCAUCUUAUCAGCUUAUCUAUCCAAACGUGUCUCCCGCUAUGACCCACCUCGAAGCUUAAGAUCGUCGGAUGAGGCCCUGCUCGCGGUCCCGUCAGCCUCACAGGUGCGGCUGGCGGGGACGAGAGACAGGGCCUUUUCAGUAGUGGCUCCCCGCCUAUGGAACGCCCUCCCCAUUGAAGUCAGGCAGGCUCCCUCCCUCCUAUCCUUCCGUAGGAAGGUAAAAACUUGGUUGUGGGGCCAGGCUUUCGAAUAAGAAUCAGCAGCAUUAAUUACUAUUAUGUAUACUGGAACUCAAUUGACAGACCCAGUCUUUUAAACUUGUACACGCCUAUCUAUAUUUUAUAAAUGCAUUUUAUGAAUGUUAUAUGUAAGUUAAUUUUUUAACUAAUUUAUAGUGUAUUGUACUGUUUUUAUAUGUCUGUUUUAUUGUAAGCCGCCCUGAGUCCCCUGUUGGGUGAGAAGGGCGGGAUAUAAAUAUUGUAAUAAAUAAAUAAUAAAUCAUCCACUUUCACAAUUUUUCCAGGGAAGAAAAGUUUUUGGAGACCUCUUCUGUAACAUCUUCAUAGGUCUUUCGAAGAUGGUCUUUAUAAUAGGCAGAAACAUUCAGGAACAGCUGUUCUUUCAGGUAGACUGGUUUUCAGCUAUUCAAGGCAUUAAAGGUUAUCACCAAAACUUGAAAUUAAUGACAACUGUAGCUGACUCAGUACUUGGAUAUACAUUCAAAAUAACUGAUUCUAUGCAAAACUAUUCCAUUCUGCACUAAGUGAAGUUUUCUGAUGUUUCUGAAAUAGCAUUCAAUUCCUAUGCUGUUUACAAACUGCCUAUUUUUAUUUAAGAUGCUGUGGUUUUGUCAAGAUUUUAGGAGUCUUACAUUUUGCUGUCAAAGAAUGAAACACCAAAUUGCAUGCCAUUUAGAUCUUUUAAGAUUGAUAUGUUUGUCUUCAUAAUAUUUUUUUAAAUUUCGCCAUUGGAUGUUUGUUGUCUAAUUUUUUCAAUUUGGUCAUUUAAAAAGUAUUUGAGAUAAGUGUUGGCUCCAAAAAUAGCUGUUUUUGGGCAUCUUUCCACCAUCUUUUGUUUACACCAGGGUUGAUAACUGGAAAGUUAGGGGGUUGCCGUAGCCCCAUAGGAGACUUGGAGAGGGUCUUUACUACCCCCAAAUGCCCUCCAAUACCCUCUAGAAGCAGAGGUGGGGAUUUCCACGAUGUUUUAAAGCCCCCUUGAUUAUUUUAGACCCGGGAGCAGCCGCCGCCGCCUCCUCCUCCUCCUCCUCCUCCUCCUCUUCUUCUUCUUCUUUAAAAAAAAAACCUCCUACUGGACUUAAAAUGGCCACCAAAGGGGGAGGGCAGAAUAUGGUGAACCCAUUAGAGGCCAUUUGGGCAAAAUUGACCCCCUUGGGUGGUGUGCAGCCCAAUAGCAACACUUUGCCCACCCCAGAUUUAUAUUGUAAACCUUAUAGGGAAUUCUAAAGUACAUACCCUAUAUGCUCAUCUAUAAGUCUAGAAAUUUUAGCAAAAAAUCAACCCCAAAAACCCAAUUGACCUAUCAAUGGUUCAAUGUAAGUUCUGUGCCUUAACUUUUAUUAAAAAUGAACCAUCCCCUUCUCAAAGUAGAUUGGUGAAAGAGAAAACUUUGCUUUUUUUCUGGAAGAAUCUAUAAGAACGACCAACACCUUCUCUUUCCACUUUGACGCCACUUCUUGUUUGGGUUUCUAGCAAUCAUGCAUGCAUUUAAAGUUGGGAUGGUUUAUGUAGUUAGCUUGCUGUUUGUUCCUUAGUAAUCUGAAACCAAAGGCUGCAUUCCAAAGUUUAUGGCACCUAUCUGGGGUUUGCAUGUGGGCAAGGGGAGUAUCCUUUGGGAACAUGCUAGAAGUCACGUAAACAUUAGGAUUUGGGUAUAUAAAGGGGAGUUUCUUUGUUCUUUAACACAUGCGGGGCAACACACGAGGCUUCCACAUACUCUUCUACCUUCCAUGAUGUCUGGAGAAGAUGUAGUUUCCUGAUGGAGAUAGGUCUGCAUGAUCCCAGCCUAUGAUAUGCUUUGCUGUAUCCUGAACUAUAUUUGGAACUAAGAUGUUUUACCUGUAUGACCAACCUCAUACAUGCUUGUGAGUAAAAUACUUACUAUUUUAAUUUUGUCGUCUCUGAUGUUUAUUUUAUGUGCAUGACACUUUGAAAGGAAAAGGAAGUCUGGUUAUUUGUUUUUAACCUCUGUUCAAAUAAACCGCAGUCUUUUGUUUUGCUAUUCUGCUCCAAUAUCUAACAGUAUUGGUAUAUAACUUUAACAGGUUAUGUAUACAUAAACCUAACACUUCUGGACUAGGCAUGGAAAUGACAACAGCAUUGUGCUUUCCCUUCUCUGUGGAUAACCCUCGAUUUAUCCAUGGAUCAUAUUAUAAACCAUAAUCUUGGCUUCAAAACUUCUCCUGACUUAUAUACAAAUUGAAUUAUACAUGAGCAUAUUUGGUACUUCUCAGAAGCAGUUUCAAAAUCUCCCAAAUUGCUUAGCAGUUGAUAAGAAGCAAAUAUCGGAUACCUUGAAUUUGACUUCCUGCAAACUUGAAAUAGCUCUUUUCUGUUUCAUCUAAGAUAAUAGCUUACCUCAAAGGAGGACUUCCAAAUCUAUAGAAGUAGUUGCUUCAUUAUGGAUAUGACUGUCUGUGUGGGAUCUGUCCCUGAUGAAAAGAAGACAUUCUUUUUCAGUUGGUGAUUUGGCAGGUUGAACUGCCUAUGUUGUAACACUUUUAAACACUAGUUUAACCUUGUAUCUGGUUCCUUUUAUAAAAUUUCCAUUAUUUUUUGAGAGCUGUAAAGCUGGGUAUACAAAUCUGGGUGAAACCUAGUUUUCUCAUGUCUAGAGAGCUUAAACUCAGAAAAUUAUCUCACAUAGCAGAUGGUUUUCAGAACUCAUUUUUGUAUAUGUCUGUUAGUUAGUUCCUUAUGUCUGUUGGGCAUUCACCUAUUUUUGUACCGUGACACAUUUGCUAACAUAUUGGUUGUGCAUUAAACAUUGUUUUCAUAUUCCUUGUACCUACAUGUCAUAAUCAGCUCAUUACAUUUUUAAAUAGUUAUUAAAACUUCUUUUCUUCAGUAAACUGAGUUAACUGUACCAGAAUAAGAGUAUAUGUUAAGAAUGUCUGUUCUGAAGGUGUGGCUCCUAUGGAGAAAAUAAUCACUUAGGUUGCAGCACAGCAAACAAGGCAGAGAAUUGCUCACUAGGCUGUCUGUUUUACCCUUUUGCUUGUAGCCAUCAGGCUUAGUAUACCAUAUGUCACAGUGAAUGCUUUGCAGAUUGUUUCAUUAUCUCUAUAGCACUACAAUUGACGUGCUUUAAAAUGGACUUGGACUUAACAUUUUACUGCUGUACAGCCAUACUUUAGUUAAUAAAGAAGUUCUGUUUCACAAUGUCUUUCUAUGCACAUCAAGCAUUUUCCUUUUCCUCUAUCUGGUUGGAUUCCUUUUAGCAGUGUCGGCAUGCAAAAGAUAUUAAAGGAAGACUGGAGAAACAUGGACCUCAAAUAUGUUGCAACAGAGUGCCUGCUGUAAAGAAUGCAAUAAAGCUUGGGCAGGGAAAGAACAUAAUUCUACUCUAUUCUGUCCUAAUUUAGCAGUAUGUCUCUACCUAAACAGCAGCUGUUUCCAGAACCACAUACUGAGCAUGUGUGAACAGAAAAGAGAAGAGUAGAUAAGUCUUCCUCACCUGCUGCCCCCCAGCAUGUUGGAAAUACAUGUAUAAUAUAUAAAAUAUAAAGAUCAUAAAAAGUGGAAGUUGGUGAAAGAAAAUGUCAACCACUGGGUGCAGUUUGGAAGAAGCCUUCAAGUUUUCUGAGGCUCAGAAUGUUUUUUAUUUACUCAUGAAAAACGUAUGUGACCUGAUAGUUUCAUGUGUGCAUGUUGUUAGUUUUGGAUUAAAUGUUGGGGAAGACGUGUUGAAGUGUUGUUUUCUAUGGUGUAGGGACCUAUCCCUAAUCUUUCUAUGUUAUUUAUGCCCAUGGUGUGAAAUUUAGUAAUGCCCAAGAACUUAUUUGCUUUGUUAAGUGAAGUAUACCUGUACAGUGAGUUCUGCAAAAAUAGUAAUGCAAAAACAGAUGUAUGAAUUCUUAGUUUAAAGCAACAGAGUUACCGUGGUCUCUUGUCAACAUGCUUUGAGACUAAUCUAUUAAUGACUUAAGUAGCAGUAGACAUAAAUGAUACAUGGCUAUAAAAUACAUUACUGGUAAACCUGCAAAUCAUUUUUAAAUACUGUAAUAUGAAGCAUCCAAGAUAUUCCAAUGGGUGACUUCACUAUAGCUGUUCUUGGGGAUUACUCGGAUUGUAUGUGUCAAUAUAUAGAAAAUCAUAAUACAGUAUGUUGAGCAUCUUGACUUUUCUGUUUCUGCAGGAACAUAUCCAGCGGUUGUUUUGUUUUGGUGAAAAUUGGUAACUUAAGGUAGAGUCCAUUCACUGCUCAUAUGUAAGCCGCACUAUUGAUAGAUGAAAGCCUAAUUGAAGUGGAUCCAGAUAAUUGAUGUCAUUAAGAAGCAUGUGAAUAAACGUUUCACAAGGAUAUGAACCCUCCUAUAAGUGUGACAUUGUCUGUUUGUCUAUAAAAUGUAUUUCUUUUCUGAAUUCAUCUCCAUUCAGGCCAAUUAAAAAAUAUUUGAGUGCUUCAGUUUGGGAUAUUUUUCUGACCCUGAUGACAAUUCCAGUAAAUUGGAGAACAUAGUAAUAGUUGGGCUCAACUCAGGAAUUCUAAAAUAAAAUGUGACUCCCCAAAACCAAUGUUUCCUGCCAGGAUGAGGAUGAUUAUAAUAAAAAGGAAUAGGGUUUAUUCAAAAUGUUUCAGAAGAAGAGACUGCAUGGGUCAUCUAGUCCAACCCCUGCCAUGCAGGAAAGUCCAUAAGCUUCUGCAUGCAGUGCAAUAAGGAAUCUGUUUCAUCAUAUACUACAUUUAAAGUAAUUCUUUUAUGGCAGUGAUUCACUAUACUUCCCAACAUACAAUGAUUUGUCUUUUGCCGUUCCUGCUUUGUCUGCUGCCUUUCCACUAGAAGCAGAAAGAUAGAGAUAUAGUGAAGUCCAAAAACUGACUAUUGGGAGGGAUAUGAUGAAAAUACACAGAGAAUCUACACACCAAAAUGGUUUUAUUCCUGGAUUUAUAGCACUUCACAUAGUUGUAAUAUAACUUCUCAGUGAUCUUUUCUCCUGGUAAUAUUAACCUUUGUAACGGUGUUCCCUUCCCUUCCAUCUGCUCUCCCAGAUGUCAAGUAAUAUUUGUUUGGGUUUCUUGGAAGAAGAGUGGGAUAAAAAUAUGAUAAAUUAUUCAGGUUUAAAAACAUUAUCUAGACUUUAGAACUGGUUCCAGGUUACCUGUAUAGCAUUUCUGAUCCCUAAAUUGUAAUUGGAGCUCUUUUGUUCUGUUUCUCUUGACCAGGAACAGGCAAGGUGUGACCCUUCAGAUGCUGGGCUGCAAUGUCAAUCAGCAUUAGUCAGCAUUGAUUAGAAGUGUGAAGGCCCAGGAAAAACUAGCUGAAAAAAACCCCCACACUUUUCUCUGCCCAAAGCGUUAUUUUCUUUGAAAAAUGAAUUGUUGAAUAUUUUAUUUCAGAAUGAUAAUAAAUUAUAUUUAUUGCUCCAAAAGCAUUUCUUUUUUUAAGUAAGACUUUUUUAAUGGAAGACUAUCUACAGCUCUUAAUUUCUGGCAGCUUUACAUCUCUAGUAUCGAGAAAUGAUGCCACAGGCAAUCCAGCAACAUCUGAAUGACCGCACUUUGUCCACUCCUGGUCCUGAGUCACCAUUAAUUGUUGAGUCCUAUGUCGGUUUUUUAGUUAUAUGGAUUUUCCUCACUUAAUAUGUUGUCUUACACAACCUCCCUUCCUUCCAGUGAAUCUACAUACACAACUCCUUGAAGUUUAUGAAAUACUAAAAAACAAUCUCAGUGCAUAUUAGUAGACAUGUUUUCAUUAAGAAAUUGUAUAUGUCAUAACAAAAGCACAAAGUUUUGCACAAAGACAUAAUUUCAAACACCGAGAUAAAUACAGUUAUAUCUCUGCAUUUCAUUAAUGUUUGUUAGGUCGGUUUUUAUAUUGGAAACUUGAAAGUAGUAACAUAAUCAUCCAGUCAUGGCUUUAAACCCAAAAUAUGAAUUUCAAGGUGAGAGGUAACAUGAGAGCCAAUAUGAUUAAGUGGUUUGACCAUUGGGGUUGAACUUUAGAGGUCAAUCUGCACUUAACCAUGGAAACCUACUGGAUGACCUUGGAAAUGUGAAACUCUUAGCUGCAGAGGAAGACUAAGUCAAACCCUCUAAACAAAUCUUUCACCAAAAAAAAGCCCUGUAAUAGCUUUCAUUUUUGGUCACCAUAAGUUGGAAACUAAAUUGAGGACAUACAACAACAGAGAGAAAACAAUUUUUUAGGUUUGCUCAAGGACUGAAUGAGAUCUUUAUUAUGUGCCACAUAGCAGAAAAUAGAUGUGGUUGGCAAUGGUAUUAGUUGUCAAAACAAGCAACAAGUACCAGUGUUGAUUUUUAACCAACCACUGUGUACUAUCAAUAAACAAUUCAAGUAGACUGUAAAAAUAGGCUGAAGAUUACUUCAUAGUAAUAUCUGUAAUCCUUCAUAUAAAGAUGCCAGUCCAGAAUACCUUACUAAAGUAAUUGAAAGAAAAUUGACCAAACCUUGAGACAAUAAGGGAAUGCCAACAGCUAAAACUACAGCCUCCUUCCAGAAAGUACAACAUACAAAAAUCCAUAUGAAGGUACAAGUGGUCAUAUAUGCUCUACAGCGUUAUGCAUGUGACAACUGUGUUCUUACAAAAGUAGGAAAUUAGCUACAUGGUUUGGUGUUUAAUAUGCCUGAUACGAAGAUAGAAGACAUAGUCCUGAAUUUGAAGCAUAUGCAACUGAAAUCGCAUUGAAAUUGUGCAUAUUAGUUUUGGGUUCCUAUUAUAAAGAGGUUUCCUUGGGCGAAUGUCCAGAUGCUUUGGUAGAGUAAUCCCUUGUCUCUUUCAGAUUUGACAACAUUGUAUGUUUUCUGAAUUCUGGUUCAUAUGAGAGAUACUUAAUUCAGUUAUCAGUUGCAGUACAUGCAGACUGCAAAAGAGUUUGAUAUUGGUGACUUACUUGUAUAAAAAACCCAAAGUGAAUGAGCAUUCGCAUCAGUUCCUACUCAUAAAUGCCACAAGCAGAACAAUGCUUUAAUCAAAGUGGCACAGCUGAUCUAUUAGACAACUUCAUUGCCCUUCAGUAGUGGAUAGUUGCCAGAGGUUAUUGGAUGAUACAAGAACAUGAGAGGGGAGGAAGCAGAAACAGGACUAUAAUUACAUGCCCAGCGUAUAGACAUCAAACAACUUGCCCAGCGCUCAUGGAAGUGAUUGAAGAGUUUGGCAACUCUUUGGAAGAUGAGAGCAGGCAUCCACAUAACUUUCUUGGCACAUAAGGGAAAUAAUUUUUCAUCAGCUGUUUAGACACUUUAAAACCAUUGAAAAAAAUAACCAAGAUCGUUGUGUUCAUUUUUUAAAAUGCUGAUAGAAAAAUAUAAGUUGUAUCAAAUUAACAUUUAAUUGUGUAAAAUUAAAUGUUAAUAUAAAUUUCCAUAUUUAGAGGAGAGAGCAUUGAUACACAUGGGGCUUUAGUUAUGGAAUAUUAAUCAUCAUAGAAACAUUUUAGUUAUUAUGCGUGGUACAUGUAUUUCUAGUGCCUUAUGCAGCAAUACCUAGAAAUUAUCCUUGUGUAAUUGUCCAUGUAUUGAGUAAGCCUGGUACUUUUAUUAUACAGUGUUCCCUCACUUAUCAUGGGAGUUACGUUCCAGGACCACCCAUGAAACGUGAAAAUCCACGAAGUAGGGACGCUAUAUUUGUGUUGUUUACAAUCUCACUGGCAAAUAGCAUCUCUGUCCCCUCCUUGCCUCUCAAGCACUAGCAUGCCAUGUGAGGCGAAAACAAAGCUGCUUCAGCCUCCUUUUCUCUCCCUUCGGCUUCUCCUUCCUUCCUUCCUUCCUUAGGCUUCUCCUUAGGAAGGAAGUAGAAAGAAGGAUUUAUAAUAUUAUUUUAUGAUUUAUAUUAUUAUUUUAGUGUUUAUUUAAAAAACCGUGAAACAGCGAGUCUGCGAAAAGGAAACCGUGAAGUAGUGAAGGAACACUGUACACAGAAAAUAGCUUUGCUUUUCUGCUACAGUAUAUUUUCCAUAAGGGAAAGAAAUUUCUUAUUGUUCAGUAUGUGUGCUCAUGUCAUAACGUACACUUAGUGAAUAACUCAAAAGAUGCCAUUGUUGUGUUGGACUUCAUUGUAUCAAAACAGAAUUAUAUGUUAUAAAUGCCUCUUAAUGAAUAUAAUCAAAUGGGGACAAGAACAGGAAAGUGAUAUUAUGCCUAUGGGCUUCCUAUUGGGCUAUCUAGUUGGCCACUUGGGAACAAAAUGCUGGGCUAGAUCUAACCAAAGAAGACGAUAAAUUAGAACUGAAAUUAGAAUACAUUUUCUAUAUGGAUAAUAGACGAAAGGGUAAAAAGAAAUUGUAUAAUAAUUUAAAUAACUCUUUUUUAAAAUAUAUUUUGGAGAUUUGGGGAAAAUACAAGAAAAGAAUGCCAGGUAUUUCGUUUAUAAUGCCAGUUCUGAUGACAGAAAAUUUCCUAGCAAACUUAAAAAAGAACUUGAAGCAGAAUUUAAUGGAAGAGGUAUAAUGUGAAAAUAAGAGAUUGGGAUCUGAAAAUGGUAAAUAUGGAAAGGAUAAAAGAUCAAUUAAGAGGAAGAGAUUUAGAGUGGUAUAAAUGCUUACAAUUGGGGAAAUGGUCAAGUAAUAUAAAGAAAAAGCAUAAUGGGGUAGGGAACAUACGAAAUUUGAGAAGACAAUAACUCAAAGGGAGGUUAAAGAAGAUAAUGUAAUAUUAAAAGGCACAGUAAACAAUAUCUAUAAACUAUUAUUGGACGAACAGGACCAAGACCACUUGAGGGAAGUAUAGGAAGUAGAUUUAGGGAAAAAGGUGAAUAAUCAAGAAUGCACAGAGAUAUGGAGUAUGCGAUUACUAAAAAAUAUGUCCAUAAGAAUUAAGGGAAACUAUUACAAAAUGGUAUAGAGAUAGUACCUAAUCCCGUUUAGAUUAAAUCAGAUUUAUUUAUUUCUCAUGUCAGAAACGAACCGAGGGUACAAGUUGUAAUGGAUUUGCAAACAUAGAGAUUUUUUUUAAAGAAAAAAAACAAUAAAACUUGGCAUUAAUACUAAAUGUCUUUUGCCCAGUAGCUGGCCACUUGGAGUGCCUCUGGUGUUGCUGCUACCGUGUUUCCCCGAAAAUAAGACAUUGUCUUAUAUUAAUUUUUGCUCCCAAAGAUGCGCUAGGUCUUAUUUUCAGGGGAUGUCUUAUUUUUCCAUGAAGAAGAAUUCACAUUUAUUGUUGAACAAAAAAUGAACAUUAUAUACUGUACAGUAGUUGUCAUCACAAACCAGCAUAACCAGACAAACUGAAUCCUAUCAAUAAUUUCUUGUUAUUACCAUUAUUACCAUGUACAACACUCUAUGGUAUGUACAUUUACCGAUCCCGCAUACUCUGGUGUUCUGUUCGGCGGACUCCACUUUGUAGUCCCAUUUCUUAAGGUUGGCUCUGCAUCUCGUGGUGCCAGAGCUCAGUCUGUUCAGCACCUUCCAAGUUGCCCAGUCUUCUGUGUGCCCUGAGGGAGUCUCUCAUCCGGCAUCAGCCACUGAUUAAGGUUCUGGGUUUUAGCCUGCACUUUUGGACUCUUGCUUGCUAAGAUAUUCCUGCAAGUAUCUCUGUAGAUCUUAGAAUGCUAUUUCCUGAUUUAAGGCAUUGGUGUGCUGGCUGAUAUCCGAACAGGGGAUGGGCCGGAGAUGUCAAUGCAUUGGUCCUUUCAUUGUUGACUGCUACUUAGAUAAAAAAUAUUCAAAUCAAUGCUGGAGAAUCUGUCAGGAAAUAGGCUCAUAUUUUCAUAUGCGGUGGUCCUGUAAAAUUAUACAAAAGAUUUGGGAAAGGGUAUUUAAAGAAAUAAGAACAAUAAUAAAAAUAGAGAUAGAGAGUACACCAAAAUCAACAUUCUUACUCAUACAUGACAAUACAAUUCCUUCACAAAAGGAGAAGGAAUUGGUCUCUAAUUUGCUAACAGUAGCGAAAUAGUUAGUAGGAAAAAACUGGAAAGAAAGGAAAUUUGGAACAUAGCUAUUAAUGACAAAUUGACUUGUGAUUUAAAAUUAAAAAAGAAAUAUGGAAACAAACAGAUUUUUGGAAAAUAUGGGAGAAAUUUAUUUAUCUUUAAUGAGGGAAAGGGAUACAAGCUGGCAACAGAAGCAAUGAAAUUUUGGAUUUGUGAAACAAGAUAAGUUGGUCUUGGUGAAAGUGGCACAAAAUAAUGGUGGGGAGAGAGGAAAAAAGAUAAUGAUGAUGAUGAUGAUGAAAUAAAAUAUGUCUAAGUAGAUAAAAGAUGUGUAAGAGAAGUAUAUGUAAUUGGAGAAAAUUAAAAACUGAUAAGAAGUGUGCUUAAGGAUUGUUUGAUUUUCUUCUUUUUAUUUGUGCAAAAUAUGGCAUACUUCCCUGUCCAAGAUAUUGUAAAAAGGGGGAAGGAUGUAUACUUAUACAUUUUGAUUGAUACAUAAAUAAAAAUUUCAAAAAAGAUCAUAUUUGGUCUGCAAGUCUCAACAAGUCUCUUAUUUUCUUGUAACUGUUAUAUCAAGGUAAACUAUAGAUAACCCGUUC